UACCUCUGGUGUACCAGUUGUUCUGCCAAGGGCAUGGCUGGGUAGCUAUGUACGGAAUGGAUAAGCGCUGAAAGCAUCUAAGCGCGAAGCCAACUUCAAGAUAAGAUUUCCCACCGCAAGGGUAAGACCCCAGAAAGACUAUCUGGUUGAUAGGUCGAAGGUGUAAGUGCAGCAAUGUAUUUAGCUUAUCGAUACUAAUAGGUCGAGGACUUGACCAAU
rnacentral:rRNA from 1 species